UCCUAACUCAUUUUGCUCUAGUACAAUUUUCACCGAGUUAGCUUUCCAACCAAUCCUAUUCCAGUACUGGAAAGCCAAUCAUCUCGGUUAUUAUUAUCUAUGGGUAACCAAUCUAUGUAAUAAAUUGUCAAAGGUCUAUACAUUCAUGAUUGACAUUCUGAAAACAACACGGACGACGAAGGAAGACAAAAUGGCAGCAACUUGGUAAGUAUUAAAUUUAUUUAAUAUUUUCAAGGUAUUUCCUUUUUUUUCUUUUAUAUUUCUUUCAGGUACUUCCUACUUCCUAAAGAAGAACAGAAUUCGUCAUUUAAGCAGCAACAGGCGUCCGCAACAAAAUUUCUUAUGAGAAUAUUCCCCGGAAUAUUCGAGUAAGAAACAAAAAGGUCGCCUGUGGUUAUGUUUCUGGCUCUGAAGGAGUUUUCUAAAGCUAACGGCAUAUAAUGAUGACUUGGAUGGGCCACACGAUUUCCGAUACACGUGUUUGAAUUUUGCAACAUGAAACCAGCAAGAACCAUCAUUUAGUUGCUGAAAGAUGUCGGUGUUCAAACUGAGCACCGACUUCUAAAUGUUCUUGCCCGGUGAAAAUGAGAAUUCUUGCCUGGUGAAAAAUGAUUUUCGCUAAAAUGAAACUCCAACCCAGGCGGAAUAGUUUUGGUGCCAAAAAAAAUUGUUUAGCUACCAUUUUGAACUUGUUUGCACUAAGUUUUCGUCCGUGGGGAGCAACCCAUGAUAUAAGCCGGGCUUAAAUUAAGCUUAGUAGUUUAUAAUCAUAAAAAAACUCAUGACGCGGAUAAAACUGUACAGAUAAUUUAAUACAGGAUCAAAGAUUCAAAGACAAGUUAUUUUAACUUUGGAAGUUACAAUCGCCGCACAAGAAGCUAAUCCCUAUCUACGUUGCAGAAGUGGAGAGAAAAACCGGCGGAUCGUUACUGGGGCUAAUUGGCAGCAGCCAGCCAGGACUAUAUGAGGUGGGGGUGCUCCGGUGGACGGGCGACUUGGAUGGCUGUGUCCGACAACCGAC